rnacentral:rRNA from 1 species
UACGAAGGGGGCUAGCGUUGUUCGGAAUUACUGGGCGUAAAGCGCGCGCAGGUGGUCUUUCAAGUCAGUGGUGAAAGCCCGGGAGCUCAACUCCGGAAAUGCCAUUGAAACUGUAAGACUUGAGGAUGAGAGAGGUGAGUGGAAUUCCCCAGUGUAGAGGUGAAAUUCGUAGAUAUUGGGAAGAACACCGGUGGCGAAGGCGGCUCACUGGCUCAUAUCUGACGCUCAGGCGCGACAGCGUGGGGAGUCAAACAGG